GAGAGUAUAGCUCAGUGGUAGAGCAUGUGCUUAGCAUGCACGAGGUCCUGGGUUCAGUUCCCAGCACUCUAU
rnacentral:tRNA from 1 species